UCUGAAUGUUCUUCCUAAUCUUAACUAUUUUGGAUGUAGUCUCCUCUACCAGAUCUUGGCCGAACAGCUUUCUAUCACCCACUUUUUCCCAAUAAAUUGGUGAUCUACAUGGGCACCCAUAUAGUGCCUCAUAUAGAGCCAUGCCAAUACUUUCUUGGUAGCUGUUAUUGUAGUCAAACUCUAUCAGGGGUAGAUGGUCAUCCCAAUGGCCCCUAAAAUUAAGAACACAAGCUCGGAGCAU
rnacentral:lncRNA from 1 species